UACAGAGGGGGCAAGCGUUGUUCGGAAUUACUGGGCGUAAAGGGCGCGUAGGCGGCCUGCUAAGUCGAACGUGAAAUCCCCGGGCUCAACCCGGGAACUGCGUCCGAUACUGGCAGGCUUGAAUCCGGGAGAGGGAUGUGGAAUUCCAGGUGUAGCGGUGAAAUGCGUAGAUAUCUGGAGGAACACCGGUGGCGAAGGCGGCAUCCUGGACCGGUACUGACGCUGAGGAGCGAAAGCGUGGGGAGCGAACAGG
rnacentral:rRNA from 1 species